rnacentral:rRNA from 1 species
AUUGAACGCUGGCGGUAGGCCUAACACAUGCAAGUCGAACGGCAGCACAGUAAGAGCUUGCUCUUACGGGUGGCGAGUGGCGGACGGGGGAGGAAUACAUCGGAAUCUACUUUUUCGUGGGGGAGAACGUAGGGAAACUUACGCUAAUACCGCAUACGACCUACGGGUGAAAGCAUGGGAUCUUCGGACCUUGCGCGAUCGAAUGAGCCGAUGUCGGAUUAGCUAGUUGGCGGGGUAAAGGCCCACCAAGGCGACGAUCCGUAGCUGGUCUGAGAGGAUGAUCAGUCACACUGGAACUGAGACACGGUCCAGACUCCUACGGGAGGCAGCAGUGGGGAAUAUUGGACAAUGGGCGAAAGCCUGAUCCAGCCAUACCGCGUGGGUGAAGAAGGCCUUCGGGUUGUAAAGCCCUUUUGUUGGGAAAGAAAAGCAGCAGGUUAAUACCCCGCUGUUCUGACGGUACCCAAAGAAUAAGCACCGGCUAACUUCGUG